GUUCUUGUAGUUGAAGUACAACGUUGGGUUUUCAAGCCAUUAGUCUCGGUUAGAGUCCGGGCAAGAAUU
rnacentral:tRNA from 1 species